rnacentral:lncRNA from 1 species
UAGAAACCUGCAACCUAGGGAAAACUAGGGAAAAGAUGAUAGUCUGACUGCUGCUUGCACAAAUAGCAGGGAGGCCUUUCUUUAGUACAAUGGACUGACAAUGAGCAUAGUUUUUGUAAGGAUGUGAAAAUUCUGGUGGAGAGAGAACUGAUUGAUCUGCACCCCUGCCCUGAUAGAAGAGCUGGAAUAACAAGUUACGAAAUACAACCAUCAUCACAGCUGAGAAGGAUGUGAGAGCCGAUUCUGCACUGCAAUCACCAGCUCACAGCACUUAGUUGAAUGUCUCCUCUCCUCCAAAACCAGAGCCAAGGCCAUCAGCAGAACCCUCAAAGUCAUCUGAGAUGAGAUACUGCAGGA